ACAGGGUGACAGGUGGUGCAUGGUUGUCGUCAGCUCGUGUCGUGAGAUGUUGGGUUAAGUCCCGCAACGAGCGCAACCCUCGACCUUAGUUGCCAGCAUUCAGUUGGGCACUCUAAGGUGACUGCCGGCUAAAAGUCGGAGGAAGUGGGGAUGACGUCAAAUCAUCAUGCCCCUUAUGUUCUGGGCUACACACGUGCUACAAUGGCCGGUACAGACGGAGGCGAAGCCGCGAGGCGGAGCAAAUCCGAAAAAGCCGGUCUCAGUUCGGAUUGCAGGCUGCAAUUCGCCUGCAUGAAGUCGGAAUCGCUAGUAAUCGCAGGUCAGCAUACUGCGGUGAAUACGGUUCCCGGGCCUU
rnacentral:rRNA from 1 species